AAUCAUUAAACCGGGAAGUAUGAGGGCUGUCCGCAGCUGGAGUAUUUUAUUACCCUUGUCUUUUGCGCACUUGUUGUUUCCUGGGCGGGUUCGCUCGCCACCAGGACCACCAAAUAAACCUUUUUUAUGCAGUUGCAAUCAGCGUCAGUACAAACAAUGUAAAUCAUUUACAACUUUCAACAACGGAUCUCUUGGUUCUGGCAUCGAUGAAGAACGCAGCGAAAUGCGAUACGUAGUGUGAAUUGCAGAAUUCAGUGAAUCAUCGAAUCUUUGAACGCACAUUGCGCCCUUUGGUAUUCCAAAGGGCAUGCCUGUUCGAGCGUCAUUUGUACCCUCAAGCUUUGCUUGGUGUUGGGCGUUUUUGUCUUUGGUCGCCCAAAGACUCGCCUUAAAGUGAUUGGCAGCCGGCCUUUCUGGUUUCGCAGCGCAGCACAUUUUUGCGCUUGCCAUCAGCAAAACGGCAAUCCAUCAAGCCUCCUUCUCACGUUUGACCUCGGAUCAGGUAGGGAUACCCGCUGAACUUAAGCAUAUCAAUAA
rnacentral:rRNA from 1 species